rnacentral:lncRNA from 1 species
AUGGUGGCUCCGUUUCUUCCGCAUGAAAUGGUCCCGAUGGGCCGUUCCCGUCCCACACCCAGCUCGCCUCUCACUCUUGCUCACACACCGAGAUCGCUGCCUCAAGGAAAGUUUCCUUGGCUUCUCAAGCAACGUGUACAGCAAAGUGGUUCAGCUCUACACGUACUUGUUCUUGUACCUUCCAUGACGUCAGUGAUUGAUCAGUAUCGAUCCUCUGGGUUCGAUGGCGAGCUCCAAGAGACCCGGAAUCACGAAAUAACUGAAGAAAAGUGCUGUAACGUUUUACAAAGUUGAGGAAACAGACAGGUCUAGCAGUCACAGCAGAGCUGUUCACCUAGCCCUCUGCUCCCUGAAGAUAACCACGGAAGGACGAGUACUUGGGCUGUUGUUACACCUGUAUGGCUGGAAGGGACCGCAUUCCCACAGGUGAACAGGAGUGAAGGGAAAUGGGAACAGGCUGAUGUCUGAAGCACAGGAGCUUUGACAGACAUUCACGUCUUCACACUGUGACUGAAGAAGGAGCGGACAUGAAUGAGACUGAGAGUGAAGGGGCUGGAAAGAAAGAGCGAGAGAAAUUGUGUAGACGGAGCAUCUGAUGAGAAAACGGUCACGUCUUUUCCAAGGAGUGCUGCACCCCAUUUCUAAACUCAACACUGGAUCAAAGCUUUAUGUUCAGUUCAGUCAGUCGCUCAGUCGUGCCUGACUCUUUGCGACCCCAUGAACUGCACACGCCAGGCCUCCCUGUCCAUCACUAACUCCCGGAGCCCACAGAAACCCCAUGUCCAUUGAGUCAGUGAUGCCAU